rnacentral:rRNA from 1 species
ACUAGUCGAGUCGGCCUGCGCGGAAGAUGUAACGGGGCUAAGCAAUACACCGAAGCUGCGGCAAUGUCUUUUAGGCAUUGGGUAGGGGAGCGUUCUGUAAGCCGUUGAAGGUGAAUCGUAAGGUUUGCUGGAGGUAUCAGAAGUGCGAAUGCUGACAUGAGUAACGACAAAGGGGGUGAAAAACCUCCUCGCCGGAAGACCAAGGGUUCCUGUCCAACGUUAAUCGGGGCAGGGUGAGUCGACCCCUAAGGUGAGGCCGAAAGGCGUAAUCGAUGGGAAACGGGUUAAUAUUCCCGUACUUCUGACUAUUGCGAUGGGGGGACGGAGAAGGCUAGGUGGGCCAGGCGACGGUUGUCCUGGUUCAAGUGCGUAGGCUUGAGAGUUAGGUAAAUCCGGCUCUCUCUAAGGCUGAGACACGACGUCGAGCUGCUACGGUAGUGAAGUCAUUGAUGCCAUGCUUCCAGGAAAAGCCUCUAAGCUUCAGAUAGUCAGGAAUCGUACCCCAAACCGACACAGGUGGUCGGGUAGAGAAUACCAAGGCGCUUGAGAGAACUCGGGUGAAGGAACUAGGCAAAAUGGUACCGUAACUUCGGGAGAAGGUACGCUCUUGAUGGUGAAGUCCCUCGCGGAUGGAGCUGACGAGAGUCGCAGAUACCAGGUGGCUGCAACUGUUUAUUAAAAACACAGCACUGUGCAAAAUCGCAAGAUGACGUAUACGGUGUGACGCCUGCCCGGUGCCGGAAGGUUAAUUGAUGGGGUUAGCGCAAGCGAAGCUCUUGAUCGAAGCCCCGGUAAACGGCGGCCGUAACUAUAACGGUCCUAAGGUAGCGAAAUUCCUUGUCGGGUAA